UACGUAGGGUGCGAGCGUUGUCCGGAAUUAUUGGGCGUAAAGGGCUCGUAGGCGGUUUGUCGCGUCGGGAGUGAAAACGCCGUGCUUAACACGGCGCUUGCUUUCGAUACGGGCAGACUAGAGGUAUGCAGGGGAGAACGGAAUUCCUGGUGUAGCGGUGAAAUGCGCAGAUAUCAGGAGGAACACCGGUGGCGAAGGCGGUCCUCUGGGCAUUAACUGACGCUGAGGAGCGAAAGUGUGGGGAGCGAACAGG
rnacentral:rRNA from 1 species